UACGUAGGGGCCUAGCGUUGUCCGGAUUUAUUGGGCGUAAAGAGCUCGUAGGCGGUUCGGUAAGUCAGGUGUGAAAUCUCCACGCUCAACGUGGAGGCGCCACCUGAAACUGCCGUGACUCGAGUCCGGUAGGGGAGUGUGGAAUUCCCGGUGUAGCGGUGAAAUGCGCAGAUAUCGGGAGGAACACCCGUAGCGAAGGCGGCUACCUGGACAAUUGCUGACGCUCAGGCACGAAAGCGUGGGGAGCAAAAGGG
rnacentral:rRNA from 1 species